rnacentral:tRNA from 1 species
GUGGGCACAGCUCAGUGGUAGAGCACAUGCUUAGCAUGCAGGAGGUGCUGGGUUCAAUCCCCAGUACCUCCA